rnacentral:lncRNA from 1 species
UUUCUCCCGGGUGAGGCUUGCCUGCAGGGAGGAGCAAGAGCUAUGGUUGCAAAUCCACAGCCUGGCUGCUCGCUUAUUUUACAUCAGUGGGACUGAUGGCAGGUUCCAUUCUGGGACUUGGUUGUCGCUUGGCAAUGGGCCUCGGGAGCAUGUUCUCUGCCAGAGGCGGUGCUGCCUGGUGCUGGUCAGUGGCUGUGUGGUAUUCCACAGCAGCCCCGUGCAGUGGCUCUGCUGACCCUGCCUUUCUAGUCUUCCGCCACGAAAACAAGCAAUAGUGAACAUUCUUGUGCACGUGUCUUUGAGCACAUGUGCAUGUAGGAUGGAUAUCUGGGUGCCUAUGCACCGAUUUUUAAAUGAUGAGAGGUCACUAAAAUCUAAGGAGCGUCCCACGCCAAGCAUUCGCGUAGCUAUGAUGCAAGCUUAGGGUAUGCACAGCACAGGCCACUGGCUACUGAGUACAUGUCAGCAAAAUGGAAAGAACAGAGAAAAAUGGGAAAAAUCAGGAGCUCAGAAUAGCCAAGACUGCAGGGCCCUGGUUGAGAGAGGUGGAGGUGGACUCUGAAAGAGAGCAGAAGGAUCUGCAACCUGAAGAGAACGGUCACAGUAUUCUGCACGUAAUGCAGUGUGAAUGCAGAUUCUACGAGGAACUAUGCCUUACAAUUGGAUUUUAAUUCAAUUUCUCUAGGAUUAAACAGAAUGAAAAAGGGUCAUAAGGUUUUGAAGAUGUCUGUUUAUUUUCACUUAUAUGUGAUCUUGAUCAACUUGUCUAUGAGUAUUACUGAGUGAGCAAGAACUCUCUGAGCUCAACUUACUUCUCCACUAUAAUUUUACGCAUUCUUUGCUUGCCAGUUUAUAUGAAGUGUGCUACACCAACUAAUCCAAAAUAGAUGACAAUGAGUCCUGGCAUCUAAAGCUUUUAACUUUGAAUGCCUCUUACUAUUUCAAUUCACAGUGAUAAAAAUAUUACUGUUAUGUACAUGUGUUAAGCACUAUUGUAUAUCGCUUUGAAGCCUAUCCUGCUGCUUUCGUGAAAAAUGGAUGUGCGUGUGUUUCUGUGUAUACAGGCAAAUAUCAUCAGAAGCACUUUCACUGUGAUGGUAACCUUUCUAUACACUUUCUAACUUGUCUGGAUUUUCUUGAAGGUCGAUUGGGUUUUCAACUGUGUUAUCUGCUAGGUGUUUGAUGGAGUGGUCCAGAUAACAGAAGAGAGAGCAAAGGAAAAAGAAUUUUUUGAAGAUCAAAAGUGGCUGUUCAUUUUGUUAUCUGACCCUAUCUGUUGUCAUAGUAACAGGUUUCUUUUAACCUAUGUCAUGGGAUGAUUUGUCUCUAUCUGCUCUGAAUUCUCCUUUGACUGAAGAGCUGCUCCUCCAGCACCUAGCCGUUUUCCAGGCUGUCUGUGAAGCUCUGCAGAGGGGCCAGAGAACGGUUCCCAGGUCGGAAGGGAUUUAAAUUACAUUUUCAAUUUAAACCGCUAUCUUAAUUUAGGAGGAGAUAAAGCCAACACAGUUGCUUUCUCCCCUGGUUUUACAACAUAUGAGUAAAUGUCAUUUAGGAAUGAAAUGAAUGACGGUGUUGACUCUUUAACACUCAGGACAGGUUUCAUCCUGCACCGAACCAAUGACAGGAGAUAAAGUGACUACGUGGAAGGUGGUGUUUGAAGCAAACUUUUAAUGAAAGGAAUAAAAUAAAAGCUGAUCUAAUUUCCCCUGUUGCUCUGGGAGGAGGCUGUGGGGAGGUUGGAACUUUCUCUUCAUGCUGACAACUGCAAAAAUCCAGUCCACUUACAUCAGGGCGACCAGAAGUGACUGGAAACAGGUCCGUUUAUUCUUAAACAAAGCUUUCAGAAAACUGAGUUUCAGAAGGUGAAAUUUGUUCUGUGGGUCAUUUUAAGUGACUUGAUGCAACUACGACAUUCCUUUGGGUUUUGCAGGUAAAACAUCUUAGAAAUGGACUCUCAGCAUUUGAUUGAGUCCUAGGCACCCCCUCCUCCAGCAGUGGCCUCCCCUACCCCCAACCAGGCCCAUGUAGCACCUGGCCCUCACCACUCCAGCCCCCACAUGGGAUCAGGGGAAGUUCUGGAACUGACCUCCCUCCAUGCAACAAUGCAGGUGAGCCAGGGUCCCCAGGCAGUGGAUUCCUGCUCAGUGUGCAGUCAGCUCUUCACUCUGUUCCAUGGCAAAGGCAGAGGAAAGUUUCUCCUGUCUCCCAGGAGGUUCUUGGCUGUCACCUGUCACCAGACAGGCUUCAUCUCCACUUACCCAGGACUUGCAGAAUGAAUAAGCUUCGUGAUGCAGAACACGUGUCCUUAUCAUUUUCCUCUAGUUUUAAAAACCUGUGCGCAUAACAGAUGCCUUUAGGUGAAUCUCUGAGAGAGAGCUCAAUAAACAAGGUGCAUCACUUAGGAGGGAUUCCAGUGGUGACUUCUCACUUCCUGGGACUGGACAAAGCCCCCUUCUGUGGAAGACCCUCCCUAAGAAGGCCCAGAGUCUCCCCAAGGCGCCUGAUGGAAGGAGACGGCCCCUACCUAAAGCAUCCUUGAUUGCACAGAGACUCCUACAGAGGGGACUCCGAGGGUGGGUGAUGGAGUCGUACCCCUGCUCAUUCCCAUCAGGCCUGCUCACUGAUGCACAGCACGCUGUCCUGCGGAAACCUCCGUCUUUUCAUCUGUAAAAUGGAGAUGAUAGUAGCAUCCACCCCAUAGGACUGAGAUAUUUUUUCUAGAGUGCUUGCAAAGAUCCCGCACAUGGUAAGCCCACAGUGACUGUGAGCUUCUAGGUGGUCCCUGCUCCCAGAGCUGAGGGCUGCAGCUGUCCAAGACGUCGUCUUCACCUCUUCUCUUCCCAGGAUCUGUG